rnacentral:lncRNA from 1 species
ACUGUUUUGGGGUGCAGCUCAGCCUUUUGGGGUUCAGCAGAGAUUUUGGGGGUGCAGCUCAGGGUUUGGGGGUUCAGUUCAGGCUUUUGGGGGGUCAAUUGAGGGUCAAGAUGCAGGGUUUUCCAAGCAUCUUGGGAUACAGGGAUGCGACAGAGGGGUUUUUGGGGGGAUGCCUGGGUUUUGGGGUACCACAGGUGGUUUUUGGGGUGCAGCUCAGCCUUUUGGGGUUCAGCAGAGAUUUUUGGGGUGCAGCCCAGUUAUUUUUGGGGGGUUGAGUGCAGGGUUUUCCAAGCAUCUUGGGAUACAGGGAUGCGACAGAGGGGUUUUUGGGGGGAUGCCUGGGUUUUGGGGUACCACAGGUGGUUUUUGGGGUGCAGCUCAGCCUUUUGGGGUUCAGCAGAGAUUUUUGGGGUGCAGCCCAUUGAGGGUCAAGAUGCAGGGUUUUCCGAGCAUCAUGGGGUACAGGGAUGCAGCAGAGGGGUUUCGGGGGGGAUACCUGGGGUUUGGGGGGGAUGGCUGGGUUUUUGGGGUACGGGUGCGGGUUUUGGGGUGCAGGUGCGGGUUUUGGGGUGCAGUUCAGCCUUUUGGGGUGCAGCCCAGGUAUUUUUGGGGGGUGAGUGCAGGGUUUUCCAAGCAUCUUGGGAUACAGGGAUGCAGCAGAGGGGUUUGGAGGAGGAUGCCCGGGGUUUGGGGAGGAUGGCCGGGUUUUUGGGGUCCCAGAGCCAGUUUUAGGGGUGCAGUUCAUCCUUUUGGGGUUCAGCAGAGAUUUUGGGGGUGCAGCCCAGGGUUUUGGGGUUCAGUGCAGGCUUUUUGGGGGUCAAUUGAGGGUUUUCUGGGCAUCUCAUGGUGUGGGGAUGCAGCAGAGGGGUUUGGAGGAGGAUGCCCGGGUGCUGGGGGGGAUGGCGGGGUUUUUGGGGUGCAGGUGCAGGUUUUGGGGUGCAGCUCAGCCUUUUGGGGAUCAGCAGAGAUUUUGGGGGUGCAGCCCAGGGUUUUGGGGUUCAGUGCAGGCUUUUGGGGGGUCAAUUAAGGGUUUUCUGGGCAUCUCAGGGUGUGGGGAUGCAGCAGAGGGGUUUGGAGGAGGAUGCCCUGGCGCUGGGGGGGAUGGCCGGGUUUUUGGGGUGCAGGUGCAGGUUUUGGGGUGCAGCUCAGCCUUUUGGGGAUCAGCAGAGAUUUUUGGGGUUCAGACCAGGGUUUUGGGGUUCAGUGCAGGCUUUUGGGGGGUCAAUUGAGGGUUUUCUGGGCAUCUCAGGGUGUGGGGAUGCAACAGAGGAGUUUCGAGGGGGAUGCCCGGGCGCUGGGGGGGAUGGCUGGGUUUUUGGGGUGCGGGUUUGGGUUUUGGGGUGCGGUGUGGGUGUCGGGGUGCUGACGGGGUGCCAGAGCGUGGAGGGGGAGCAGCACGAGCGGGCGGUGGAGCUGCUGAAGGCGGCGCAGGGCUCGGUGAAGCUGGUGGUGCGCUACACCCCGCGCGUGCUGGAGGAGAUGGAGGCGCGGUUCGAGAAGCUGCGCACCGCCCGCCGCCGCCAGCACAACAGCUACUCGUGAGCACCCCAAAAAUCUGAACCCCCAAAACCCGCACCCCCACAUCUGCACCCCCAAAAACCCGCACCCCCAAAUCCCCGGCCCGAAAUCCCCAGCCCCAAACACGCACCCUCAAAUUUGCGGCCCGAAAUAAUGUGCCCCAAAAGAUGCGCCUCCAAACUUGAACCCCAAAACUUGCACCCCAAAACCUGCACCCCAAAACCUGAACCCCAAAAUCUACACCCAAAACCUGCACCAUAAAACCUGAACCCCCACAUCUGCACCCCCAAAAAGCCCCCACUCCCAAAUCCCCGGCCCGAAAUCCCCAGCCCCAAACCCGCACCCUCAAAUUUGCGGCCUGAAAUAUGGGCCCCAAAAGAUGAACUCCAAACCUGAACCCC